GAGAGUGUAGCUCAGUGGUAGAGCACAUGCUUAGCAUGCACGAGGUCCUAGGUUCAAUCCCCAGUAUCUCCA
rnacentral:tRNA from 1 species